ensembl:rRNA 5S_rRNA 5S ribosomal RNA
GUCUAUGGCCAUACCACCCUGAAUGUGCCCGAUGUUGUCUGAUCUCUGAAGCUAAGCGGGCCUGGAUAGUGCUUAGAUGGGAGACUGCCUGGGAAUACCGGGUGCUGUAGGCA